rnacentral:rRNA from 1 species
GGUUUCCCUUUACGAAUUGUAGUUUAAAGAAGUGUUUUCUGUUGAGGUUUUGGUAAAAGUUCUUUGGAAUAGGACAUCAUAGAGGGGGGUGAGAAUCCCGUAUUUGACCUUUACUUUCAACUUUGUGAUACACUUUCAAAGAGUCGGAUUGUUUGGGAAUGCAGUCCAAAAUGGGUGGUAAAUUUCAUCUAAAGCUAAAUAUUGGCGAGAGACCGAUAGCGAACAAGUACCGUGAGGGAAAGAUGAAAAGAACUUUGAAAAGAGAGUUAAACAGUACGUGAAAUUGUCAAAAGGGAAGCGUUUGACACCAGUGUUGUUUUUCUGAAAAUCAAUUAAAGAACUGUUUAUGCUAAGCUGUUUAGACUUUAUCAGCUAUCUGUUUAGUUUUGAGCUUUUCUUU